rnacentral:rRNA from 1 species
UGGGGAAUAUUGGACAAUGGGGGCAACCCUGAUCCAGCAAUGCCGCGUGUGUGAAGAAGGUUUUCGGAUUGUAAAGCACUUUCGGCGGGGACGAUGAUGACGGUACCCGCAGAAGAAGCCCCGGCUAACUUCGUGCCAGCAGCCGCGGUAAUACGAAGGGGGCUAGCGUUGCUCGGAAUGACUGGGCGUAAAGGGCGUGUAGGCGGUUUGUACAGUCAGAUGUGAAAUCCCCGGGCUUAACCUGGGAGCUGCAUUUGAUACGUGCAGACUAGAGUGUGAGAGAGGGUUGUGGAAUUCCCAGUGUAGAGGUGAAAUUCGUAGAUAUUGGGAAGAACACCGGUGGCGAAGGCGGCAACCUGGCUCAUGACUGACGCUGAGGCGCGAAAGCGUGGGGAGCAAACAGGAUUAGAUACCCUGGUAGUCCACGCUGUAAACGAUGUGUGCUGGAUGUUGGGCCAACUUGGUUGUUCAGUGUCGUAGCUAACGC